UACACGACCGUACCGCAAACCGACACUGGUGCGCGAGAUGAGUAUUCUAAGGCGCUUGAGAGAACUCAGGAGAAGGAACUCGGCAAAUUGACACCGUAACUUCGGAAGAAGGUGUGCCCUAUUAGUGUGAAGUGAACAACGGAGCAUGAAUGGGUUGCAAAAAAUCGGUGGCUGCGACUGUUUAUCAAAAACACAGCACUCUGCAAACACGAAAGUGGACGUAUAGGGUGUGACGCCUGCCCGGUGCUGGAAGAUUAAAUGAUGGGGUGCAAGCUCUUGAUUGAAGUCCCAGUAAACGGCGGCCGUAACAAUAACGGUCCUAAGGUAGCGAAAUUCCUUGUCGGGUAAGUUCCGACCAGCACGAAUGGCGUAACGAUGGCCACACUGUCUCCUCCUGAGACUCAGCGAAGUUGAAAUGUUUGUGAUGAUGCAAUCUCCCCGCGGAAAGACGGAAAGACCCCAUGAACCUUUACUGUAGCUUUGUAUUGGACUUUGAACAGAUCUGUGUAGGAUAGGUGGGAGGCUUUGAAGCAGGGUCGCUAGAUCUUGUGGAGCCAACGUUGAAAUACCACCCUGGUGUGUUUGAGGUUCUAACCUAGGUCCAUUAUCUGGAUCGGGGACAGUGCAUGGUAGGCAGUUUGACUGGGGCGGUCUCCUCCCAAAGCGUAACGGAGGAGUUCGAAGGUACGCUAGUUACGGUCGGACAUCGUGACGAUAGUGCAAUGGCAUAAGCGUGCUUAACUGCGAGACUGACAAGUCGAGCAGAUGCGAAAGCAGGACAUAGUGAUCCGGUGGUUCUGUAUGGAAGGGCCAUCGCUCAACGGAUAAAAGGUACUCUGGGGAUAACAGGCUGAUACCGCCCAAGAGUUCAUAUCGACGGCGGUGUUUGGCACCUCGAUGUCGGCUCAUCUCAUCCUGGGGCUGUAGCCGGUCCCAAGGGUAUGGCUGUUCGCCAUUUAAAGAGGUACGUGAGCUGGGUUUAAAACGUCGUGAGACAGUUUGGUCCCUAUCUUCCGUGGGCGCUGCAGAUUUGAGGAAGCCUGCUCCUAGUACGAGAGGACCGGAGUGGACACACCUCUGGUGUAUCGGUUGUCACGCCAGUGGCAUUGCCGAGUAGCUAAGUGUGGAAGAGAUAACCGCUGAAAGCAUCUAAGCGGGAAACUCGUUUCAAGAUGAGAUCUGCCGGGGCCUUGAGCCCCCUGAAGAGUCGUUCAAGACCAGGACGUUGAUAGGUCAGGUGUGGAAGUGAAA
rnacentral:rRNA from 1 species